UAGGGAAUAUUGCACAAUGGGCGAAAGCCUGAUGCAGCAACGCCGCGUGUGCGAUGAAGGCCUUCGGGUCGUAAAGCACUUUUCUGGGAGAUGAGAAAGGACAGUAUCUCAGGAAUAAGUCUCGGCUAACUACGUGCCAGCAGCCGCGGUAAAACGUAGGAGGCAAGCGUUAUCCGGACUCACUGGGUGUAAAGCGCGUGCAGGCGGUUCGGUAAGUUGGGCGUGAAAUCUCCUGGCUCAACUAGGAGAGGUCGUUCAAUACUACCGGACUUGAGAGUGGUAGAGNAAGAUGGAAUUCCCGGUGUAGUGGUGAAAGGCGUAGAUAUCGGGAGGAACACCAGUGGCGAAGGCGAUCUUCUGGACCAUUUCUGACGCUCAGACGCGACAGCUAGGGUAGCAAACG
rnacentral:rRNA from 1 species